AGACAGAGCUAUGUUUGCUCAAAAUCUGACAUCACUGAUGUGAACAACAAGAUUUAAAAGCUUGGAAUGAUGGCUGGCAAUUUUAGCAGUUAGAGCAGAAGUUGGUUCGGCGAUGAGUUCUAUUGUGAUUUUAAAAAACAUGUAUUAUUGUACUAAGUACACUAGUACAAUAGGUACUGAAGCAAAGUGAUUAGUAAUAGCAAAACAGCACAGAAAAUUAUAAGCAGAAAAUCAGAAUAACAUUUUUCCCCAAACUAAAUACAUAACCUUUUCACAAAAAUUAAUGGAAAGAGGACAAAAAUAAAGAUAUUUUGCUUUAUAAAUAAUAUUGGCAAACACUAUAUGUGUUAAGUUUUUAGACAUAACCAAAGGCCUGACAUUUAACCAAAUGUCGACUAGCACUGUAACUCUUUCAGAAAGGUUUAUCAUUUGGUUAUAAAGACUCUAUUAGGAUUAAAAUCUCAGUAUGACUGAACUCCAGAGCAUGGGGCUUUUCUUAAAAUAUUACAAAGUCCACUUUAAAAGACUUUGUGCCGGUGCAGUUGCUAAUGACUGUAAUCCUUGGGAGCCUCGGGUGAGAGGACUGCUUUAGGCUAGGAGUUCAAGACCAGCCUGGGCAGCACAGCAAGACCCUGUCUCUAAAAAUAAAAACAUAAAAUUAGCCAAGCAUGGUGGUGUGCACCUGUAGUCCCAGCUACUCAGGAGGACUGCCUGAGCCCAGGAGUUGCAGGCUUCAGUGAGUUAUGAUUGCACCACUGUACUCCAGCCUGGGUGACAGAACAAGACCCUAUCUCUAAAAAAAAAAAAUAAAGGUGGCACUGUGUUUAAGUCACUGGCACAUAGUUAAAAAGCUUAAGUUUGCCCAGUCACAACUCUUUGAGCAGAAUGUUGAAAUUCUUUUUCUCUUCAGAAAAAUCUUCCAGAGAGUAUCUCUUGUACCUUAUUCAUAAUGUACAAUUUAUUGGCAUUUCUUUUCCUU
rnacentral:lncRNA from 1 species